ACACCUGGGCCCUGACCCUGGAGAGAGAGCUCUGACGUUUACACCAGCUCCCUGAGAGACAGUCCCGGUGGGCACCGGCUUCCAGGGAUCCCGAGCUGAGUUCACGGUGGCCGUCGCUGUGCAGGACCCAGGCUCCUUCCAGACCUGGACCCUCCUGCAGUUCCUGCUUGCGAGUGCUGGGCCUGUCAAACAGAGGCCCCUCCUGAGAUGCAAGCCCAGCACUGUCACCUCAGACCCAGCCCAGACUCUCACCCACCACCCAUAGGAGUGGCCCGUGCGUCCCUGCUAGUCUCAGCCCAACACAGAGAACUGAGAGGCCACAGUGGUGCCACCCUGUGCCCUGAACACCACUGUUCCCUUCACUGUCUGUGUGUGAUGAAGACCACGCCGUGCCACCCUGCAACUCGAUGGAGACCAGGGUGAGCUUGAGCCCCAUGGCCUGCUACAGGGCCACGUGCAUGGUGGCCACCUCAUUGAUGGGUCCAUCCAGGGGGGCCUCUCCUUUCUGUGAAGGGAAUCAAGUGUGCCUCAGGCACAUGUAAUAAAGAACCUGAAUGGA